AGCGAACAGACGAGGAGCUUGCUCCUCUGACGUUAGCGGCGGACGGGUGAGUAACACGUGGAUAACCUACCUAUAAGACUGGGAUAACUUCGGGAAACCGGAGCUAAUACCGGAUAAUAUAUUGAACCGCAUGGUUCAAUAGUGAAAGACGGUUUUGCUGUCACUUAUAGAUGGAUCCGCGCCGCAUUAGCUAGUUGGUAAGGUAACGGCUUACCAAGGCAACGAUGCGUAGCCGACCUGAGAGGGUGAUCGGCCACACUGGAACUGAGACACGGUCCAGACUCCUACGGGAGGCAGCAGUAGGGAAUCUUCCGCAAUGGGCGAAAGCCUGACGGAGCAACGCCGCGUGAGUGAUGAAGGUCUUCGGAUCGUAAAACUCUGUUAUUAGGGAAGAACAAAUGUGUAAGUAACUAUGCACGUCUUGACGGUACCUAAUCAGAAAGCCACGGCUAACUACGUGCCAGCAGCCGCGGUAAUACGUAGGUGGCAAGCGUUAUCCGGAAUUAUUGGGCGUAAAGCGCGCGUAGGCGGUUUUUUAAGUCUGAUGUGAAAGCCCAUGGCUCAACCGUGGAGGGUCAUUGGAAACUGGAAAACUUGAGUGCAGAAGAGGAAAGUGGAAUUCCAUGUGUAGCGGUGAAAUGCGCAGAGAUAUGGAGGAACACCAGUGGCGAAGGCGACUUCCUGGUCUGUAACUGACGCUGAUGUGCGAAAGCGUGGGGAUCAAACA
rnacentral:rRNA from 1 species